rnacentral:rRNA from 1 species
AAGUCGGAAUCGCUAGUAAUCGUGGAUCAGAAUGCCACGGUGAAUACGUUCCCGGGCCUUGUACACACCGCCCGUCACACCAUGGGAGUGGGUUGCAAAAGAAGUAGGUAGCUUAACCUUCGGGAGGUCGCUUACCACUUUGUGAUUCAUGACUGGGGUGAAGUCGUAACAAGGUAACCGUAGGGGAACCUGCGGUUGGAUCACCUCCUUACCUUAAAGAAGC